rnacentral:rRNA from 1 species
AUACAUGCAAGUCGAGCGAAUCUGAGGGAGCUUGCUCCCAAAGAUUAGCGGCGGACGGGUGAGUAACACGUGGGUAACCUGCCUGUAAGAUUGGGAUAACUCCGGGAAACCGGAGCUAAUACCGGAUAAUAAUUUGAACCGCAUGGUUCAAAUUUGAAAGAUGGCUUCGGCUAUCACUUACAGAUGGACCCGCGGCGCAUUAGCUAGUUGGUGAGGUAACGGCUCACCAAGGCAACGAUGCGUAGCCGACCUGAGAGGGUGAUCGGCCACACUGGGACUGAAACACGGCCCAGACUCCUACGGGAGGCAGCAGUAGGGAAUCUUCCGCAAUGGACGAAAGUCUGACGGAACAACGCCGCGUGAACGAUGAAGGCCUUCGGGUCGUAAAGUUCUGUUGUUAGGGAAGAACAAGUGCUAGAGUAACUGCUAGCACCUUGACGGUACCUAACCAGAAAGCCACGGCUAACUACGUGCCAGCAGCCGCGGUAAUACGUAGGUGGCAAGCGUUGUCCGGAAUUAUUGGGCGUAAAGCGCGCGCAGGCGGUUUCUUAAGUCUGAUGUGAAAGCCCACGGCUCAACCGUGGAGGGUCAUUUGGAAACUGGGGAACUUUGAGUGCAGAAGAAGAGAGU